GGUAACACGAAAUCGUACCCCAAACCGACACAGGUGGUCAGGUAGAGAAUACCAAGGCGCUUGAGAGAACUCGGGUGAAGGAACUAGGCAAAAUGGUGCCGUAACUUCGGGAGAAGGCACGCUGAUAGGUAGGUGAAGCCCCUGCGGGCGGAGCUGAAAUCAGUCGAAGAUACCAGCUGGCUGCAACUGUUUAUUAAAAACACAGCACUGUGCAAACACGAAAGUGGACGUAUACGGUGUGACGCCUGCCCGGUG
rnacentral:rRNA from 1 species